rnacentral:tRNA from 1 species
GGAGGGGUGGCAGAGUGGUCUAUCGCGUCGGUCUUGAAAACCGAAGUUGCGCAAGCAACCGUGGGUUCGAAUCCCACCCCCUCCGCCA